rnacentral:misc_RNA from 1 species
GAUGAAGAACGUAGCGAAAUGCGAUACGUAAUGUGAAUUGCAGAAUUCAGUGAAUCAUCGAAUCUUUGAACGCAUAUUGCGCUCUUUGGUAUUCCGAAGAGCAUGCUUGUUUGAGUAUCAGUAAACACCUCAACCUCUUCUUGAUUUUUCAAAAGGAGGGUGGACUUGAGCUAUCCCAACAACCUUUACCGGUCGGCGGGCGGCUUGAAAUGCAGGUGCAGCUGGACUUUUAUCUGAGCUAAAAGCAUAUCUAUUUAGUCCUCGUCAAACAGGAUUAUUACUUUUGCUGCAGCUAACAUAAAGGAUAAUUGUCCUCUUUGCUGACUUAUGCAGGAUUUUACGACACUUUAUGUGUUGUUCAACUCGAUCUCAAAUCAAGUAAGACUACCCGCUGAACUUAAGCAUAUCAAUAAGCGGAGGA